AGGUGCCUCUUCAGCCGUUGAUUCUUCAGGUUUCUCUUCAAGUGCUAGUUCUUCAGGUGUUUCCUCCUUUGCCAGCUCUUCAGGUGUUUCUUUAGAUGCCGAUUCUUCAGGUUUCUCUUCAGCCAUCGGUUCUUGAGGUAUUUCCUCUACUUGUACUUCAUAUUUCUCCUCAAUUGUUUGUUCUUCAGGUUUCUCUUCAGGUUUCUCCUUAACCACUGGUACAUCAGGUUUCUCUUGAUUAACUGGUUCUUUGGGUUUUUCUUCAACAGCCGAAUCUUCAGGAUUUUCCUCAAUGUCUUGAAAGCAAGCAAUAUCUUUAGUGGUAUUGCAUGGAAUUUCACUGCCAGUUUUGUUGUUCGAGUCUACAAUUAGCAUAUUCUGCAAAAGGAAUUUGAUGUUUCAUUUAGCCUUUUAAUAAAGAAGCAGAUGUGAAUAACAUUACAUGCAUAACUUACAAAAUGGAUAAAUUUUGUGACAGUCCUUGACCCUUACCUUUUCAGGUUUCUCCUCUUCAACAGCUGAUUCUUCAUGUUUCUCUUCAAAUGCUAGUUCUCUGGGUGUUUCUUCCCGUAGUGCUUCUUCAUGUGCUUCUUCAGUUACUGGUUUUUCAGGUUUCUCCUCAAUUGUUGGUUCUUUGAUUGUCUCCUCAACAGAUGGUUCUUCAAGCUUCUCUCCCGUUGUUGAUUUUUCUGGUUUCUCUUCAAUUGCUGGUUGUUCAGGAAUUUUCUCAACAGCUGGUUCUUCUGGCUUCUCUAAAACCAUUGAUUCUUCAGCUUUCUCUUCAAUUGAUGGUUCUUCAUGGUUUUUUUCAACUAUUGGUUCUUCAGUUUUUUCCUCAACGGAUGCAUAGUCAACAAUAUCAUUGUUGGUAUUGCUUGGAAUUGCAUCGUCUGUCAUGUCCUUUGAGUUUACUUUUGGCAUAUUCUACAAUAAAGUUUCAUGUAGUCUUUCAAUAGAUAAACAGAUGUAAAUUUGUUGCAACAUAUAAAGCUAAUAUGGUGGAUAAACUUUGUGACAGUGUUUAAUCCUCACCUUCUCCCGAAGAUCUUCCGCUUUAAGUUCCUCCUCUUCAAUUGCUGUUUUUUCAUCUUUCGUUUCAACAACUAGUUCUUCAGGUGCCUCUUCAGCCGUUGAUUCUUCAGGUUUUUCUUCAAGUGCCAGCUCUUCAGGUGUUUCCUCCUUUGCCAUCUCUUCAGGUGUUUCCUCCUUUGCCAGCUCUUCAGGUGUUUCUUUAGCUGCUGGUUCUUCAGGUUUCUCUUCAGCCGCCAGUUCUUGAGGUAUCUCCUUUUCUACUUCAGAUUUCUCCUCAACUGUUGGUUCUUCAGGUUUCUCUUCAUUAACUGGUUCUUUGGGUUUUUCUUCAACAGCCGAAUCUUCAGGAUUUUCCUCAAUGUCUGGAAAGUGAGCAACAUCUUUAUUGGUAUUGCAUGCAAUUUCACUGUCAGUUUUGUCGUUCAAGUCUACAAUUAGCAUAUUCUGCAAAAAGAAUUUGAUGUUUCAUUUAGCCUAUUAAUAAAGAAGCAGAUGUGAAUAACAUUACAUGCAUAACUUACAAAAUGGAUAAACUUUGUGAUGGUCCUUGACCCUUACCUUUCCAGGCUUCUCCUCUUCAACGGCCAGUUCUUGUUUCUCUUCAAAUGCUAGUUCCCUGGGUGUUUCUUCCUGUAUUGGUUCUUCAUGUGCUUCUUCAGGUACUGGUUUUUCAGGUUUCUCCUCAAUUGUUGGUUCUUCGAUUGUCUCCUCAACAGAUGGUUCUUCAAGGUUCUCUCCCGUUGUUGAGUCUUCUGGUUUCUCUUCAAUUGCUGGUUGUUCAGAAAUUUUCUCAACAGCUGGUUCUUCUGGCUUCUCCAAAACCAUUGAUUCUUCAGCUUUCUCUUCAAUUAAAGGUUCUUCAUGGUUUUUUUCAACUACUGUUUCUUCAGUUUUUUCCUCAACGGAUGCAUAGUCAACAACAUCAUUGUUGGUAUUGCUUGGAAUUGCAUCGUCUGUCAUGUCCUUUGAGCUUACUUUUGGCAUAUUCUGCAAUAAAGUUUCAUGUAGUCUUUCAAUAGAUAAACAGAUGUAAAUUUGUUGCACAUAUAAAGCCAAUAUGGUGGAUACACUUUGUGACAGUGUUUAAUCCUCACCUUCUCCUGAAGAUCUUCCGCUUCAAGUUCUUCCUCUUCAAUUGCUGUUUUUUCAUCUCUCUCUUCAACAACUUGUUCUUCAGGUGCCUCUUCAGCCGUUGAUUCUUCAGGUUUCUCUUCAAGCACUAGUUCUUCAGGUGUUUCCUCCUUUGCCAGCUCUUCAGGUGUUUCUUUAGCUGCCAGUUCUUCAGGUUUCUCUUCAGCUGCCGAUUCUUGAGGUAUUUCCUUUACCUGUACUUUAGAUUUCUCCUCAAAUGUUGGUUCUUCAGGUUUCUCCUUAACCGCAGGUACAUCAGGUUUCUCUUCAGCUGCUGGUUUUUGAGGUUUCUCCUCUACUUGUACCUCGGAUUUCUCCUCAACCAUCGGUUCUUCAGGUUUCUCCUCAACCUCUGGUACGUCAGGUUUCUCUUCAUUAACAAGUUCUUCACUUUUUUCUUCAAUAGUUGAUUCUUCAGGAUUUUCCUUAGUGUCUGGAGAGUAAGCAACAUCAUUAUUGGUAUUGCAUGGAAUUUCACUGCCAGUUGUGUCGUUCGACUCUACCAUUGGCAUAUUCUGCAGAAAGAAUUUAAUGUUUCACUUUGCCUUUCAAUAAAGAAGCCGAUGUAAAUCAGAGGACAUACAUAACUAAAAAAGAUGGAUUAACUUUGUGAUAGUGUUUGACUCUUACCUUUUCGAAAAGAGUUAUCUUUUCAGGUUUCUCCUCUUCAACUGUUGGUUCUUCAUGUUUCUCUUCAAAUGCUAGUUCCUCAGGUGUUUCUUCCUGUAUUGGUUCCUCAGGUGUUUCUUCUUCUGUUACUUGCUUUUCAGGUUUCUCCUCAAUUGUUGGUUCUUUGAUUGUCUCCCCAAUCGAUGGUUCUUCAAGCUUUCCCCCCCCUGUUGGUUUUUCAGGUUUCUCUUCAAUUUUCGGUUGUUCAGGUAUUUUCUCAACUGCCGGUUCUUCUGCCUUCUCCAACACCAUUGAUUCUUCAGAUUCCUCUUCAAUUGAUGAUUCUUCAUGGGUUUUUUUAACUACUGACUCUUCUGUGUUUUCCUCAACUGAUGCAUAAUCAGCAAUGUCGUUGUCGGUAUUGCUUGGAAUUGCAUUGUCUAUCUUGUCCUUUGAGUUUAAUUUUGGCAUAUUCUGCAAUAAAGUUUCAUGUAGUCUUUCAAUAGAUAAACAGAUGUAAAUUUGUUGCACUCAUAAAGCUAAUAUGAUGGAUAAAAUUUGUGACAGUGUUUAAUCCUCACCUUCUCCUGAAAAACUUCUGUUUCAAGUUCCUCCUCUUCAAUUGCUGCUUUUUCAUCUUUCUUCUCUACAACUAAUUCUUCAGGUUCCUCCUCAACGGUUGAUUCUUCAGGCUUUUCUUCAAGUACUAGUUCUUCAGGUGUUUCCUCCUUUGCUAGCUCUUCAGGUGUUCCUUUAGCUGCCGGUUCUUCUGGCUUCUCUUCAGCCUCCGGUUUUUGAGAUAUCUCCUCUACUUGAACUUUAGAUUUCUCAUUAAUUGUUGGUUCUUCAGGUUUCACCUCAACCGCUGGUACAUCAGAUUUCUCCUCAUUAACUGGUUCUUCAGGUUUUUCUUCAACAGCCAAUUCUUCAGGAAUUUCCUCAAUGUCUGGAAAGUGAACAACAUUAUUCUUCGUAUUGCAUGGAAUUUCACUGCCACUGUUGUCGUUCGAGUCUAUAAUUAGCAUAUUCUGCAUAAAGAAUUCAAUGUUUUACUUAGCCUUUCAAUAAAGAAGCAGGUGUGAAUCACAAUACAUGCAUAUCUAACAAAAUGGAUAAACUUUGUGAUAGUGCUUGGCCCUUACCUUUUCUAAAAGAGUUUCCUUUUCAGGUUUCUCCUCUUCGAUGGCUGGUUCUUCAUGUUUCUCUUCAAAUGGUAGUUCAUUUGGUGUUUCUUCUCGUGUUGGUUCUUCAGGUGCUUCCUCAGUUACUGGUUUUACAGGUUUCUCUUCAACUGUUAGUUCUUCGAGUGUCUCCUCCAUCGAUGGUUCCUCAAGUUUCUCUCUUGCUGCUGGUUUUUCAGAUUUAUCUUCAACUAUCGGUUGUUCAGGUUUAUUCUCAAUCGCUGGUUCUGCAGGCUUCUCCGAAACCGCUGAUUCUUCAGAUUUCUCUUCAAUUGGUGAUUCUUCGUGUUUUUUUUCAACUACGGGUUCUUCAGUUUUUUCCUCAACUGAUGCAUAAUCAGCACUAUCAUUGUUGGUAUUGCAUGGAGUUGCAUUUUCUGUCUUGUUCUUUGAGCCUACAAUUGGUGAAUUCUGCAAAAAAUUUAAAAUUUCAUUUAGUCUUUAAAUAGAUAAACAGAUGUAAAUUCAUUGCACAUAUAAAGCUAAUAUGAUAGAUAAACUUUGUGACAGUGUUUAAUCUUCACCUUCUCCUGAAGAGCUUCCAUUUCUAGUUCCUCCUCUUCACUUGCUGGUUUUUCAUCUUUCUCUUCAACAACUAGUUCUUCAGGUGUCUUUAUAGUCUUUGAUUCUUCAGGUGCUUCUUUAUCUGCCCGUUCUUCAGGUUUCUCUUCAGCCACCGGUUCUUGAGGUAUAUUCUCUUGUACUUCAGAUCUCUCCUCAAUUAUUGGUUCUGCAGGUUUCUCUUCAUUGUCUGGUUCUUUGGGUUUUUCUUCGACAGCCAAUUCUUCAAGAUGAUUUUCCUCAAUGUCUGGAAAGUGAGCAACAUCAUUAUUGGUAUUGCAUGGAAUUUCACUGUCAGUUUUGUCGUUCAAGUCUACAAUUAGC
rnacentral:lncRNA from 1 species